ensembl:lncRNA LINC01018 long intergenic non-protein coding RNA 1018
CCCUGUGAGAAGGACACAUAUAACAAUAAGAAAUUAAGGGUUCGGGAAGGAGAGGGGCCACCCUGUGCUCACCCCCACACAGCCCUGCAGGAAAACCCAGUGAACGGUGCCCAGGUGCCUGGCUGACUCCUGGGCCGGGAGGGGACAUGGAGGGACAGUGGCCAUCAGGCUCUUUGUGGACACUGGGGAUUAACUACUGCUCGUUCUCAGCUCACUGGUGUCCAGCCCAUCAAUAACCUCAUCAAUAACCUAACUUUGGUCAAUUAGGUUGGAGUCCGAAGGUGACUGAUUUGCGGCAAGGUUUUCUCUCUUCCUCUGUAAAGUGGAGUCCUUCAUCAUUCAUCGCAAGUAGACAACUCGCUUCCUAAUGCCUCUGCAUUAAGGAGCCAGGCGCUGCAGCUCUUUGGUACGUGACCUCAAAUAGAUUCAUGCGUCCUUCUGCUGACACGGUGGCAGAGGAGAGGGAAGGGUCGCGCCUGGUGGGGGCCUGAGAGCCACCGGGCUGCGGUGCGCGAGUGUGGACACCGCCCCGCCUUCUGCGUCUACAGCCCUGGGUUCUGGGACCUUUGGAAACCGCUUUGGACGAAGCUGAGCAUCUCUUUCCCCACGCUGACCUCCCCCAUAGACUCCGGAUGGGAGUAAAUGAGGCUCCUGGGAAAUCCAGAAACUCUAGAGAAGCUUGUUUGCCAAACCUUGCUUUGGGCGGUGGAGACAGAAUAUCAUGUCCCAGAUCAGCGUGUGGUGACUGUGGAGGCAUUUACACACAGCACACUCCAGCUCUGCCACUGGGCCGGCUGAGGUGGCUGCGGUACACGGCGCCCAUCCUGAGCCCCAGGUUCCUCACAUGUCAACAGCAUGAAAAGUGCCUCUAAGACAUCCACAGGUGUGCAGUGUUAAAGCAGGCAGCGCCUCAGCUUGGUUAGCUCCCUUAAGGACUGCGGCUCCCUUAGGACAAGGCUCUGUCCCUCAGAGCACUGAGUGCGAUCUCAUGCUGGCAUCUUAGAGACAUUGUAUUCACCAGCACAGCAGAGAAGUCUCCUGUGGCAGGGACCAGUAAUUCAGUGCUUCCCCUGGAGAGUCUGGGAUUGCACAGAACACCAGAGGCUGGGGAUUUAUUUGUUCACCAACAUUCAUUCAACAAACACUUACUGAGGCCAACACUGGGAAUGGAGACGAACUUCCCUGUCCUCAUGGAGCUUGCUUUCAAAAGGGAAGGAGGCAGACAGUAAACAAAACAAGCAAGUCAAUAUACAGCAUGAUGCAGAAAAGGUGUGAUGCCACCCUCUUGCCUGAGUUUAUAACAAGCAGAUGAUGUUGUCCUAAGAAUUAAUUUCAGCCGGUGAAAGAGUACAGGCAAAAAACGUGGUCUCGGACUUUCCGGUGAUGCUUAAGAACAUAGUUGCAGUUUUUGUUCUGAUUCUUUGUGCAUCUCGCGCUAAUGAAGGAUUCUGCCAUGAUUGCCACCUCUGGAGACGUCACAGCCAGCACAGCCAUGACCAGGGAUGAACUUGGCCAUUGUCCAGCAGCACCAUGGGAGGACCAGCUGCUGUAAGUGAAGGUCAUCAUCCAUCUGAUUUGCUGGCUUUUUGCAACUACUGCGGUGGAAGUCUUAGAGUAGCCACCUUCUCUGUACUCAGACCUUCACUUCGCCAGAUGUCAGCACAGCAGUGUCAGCAGCUUCGUCAAACACAAACACCACCACCUCUCUGGAUCAGAAGCACAUGGAAAGCCCACCUUGCAAGAAGACCCAGCUAUUCCAAAAGUACCCAUAUCCCUGUAGCAUCCUCUUAGCUGAAUGUCUCUACUCCUUAAACUUGUACCACUUUGAAGAGUAAAAAUUUAAAUUCAUUCAUAUUAUCAUUUUUUAGUUUUUAGUAUAAGUGGAGCUGUUUAUCGGCCAUUUGUAUGUCCUUUUCUUUUUUUUGCAAAUUACUCCUUUGCCAAAUUUUCUCUCAAAUGACUCAUCUUUUUCUUAUUGAUUUGCAGAAGCUAUUUACAUAUUAUGGAUGUGGGGUGUCUAACAUACACAGCAAAUACUUUGUCCCAGUGUGUCACUUUUUAAAAAAAUUCUUAUAAUGUCUUUCAUCUUUAAAAAAUUAUUAAGCUAUUGUGAGCUUUUAUGCCUUUUCAGUUUAUUUUCUUACAUAGAUAAUUAUAUGAAGUGCAAAUAGGGGCAGUGUUAGUCUCAUCUUCCCAAGGCUGCACCUCAGAUGUGGAAUGUUGACAGCAACAUCUGUUACCUUGUUUCUGUUUUUAGGAUUUUAGCGUUAAGGCCAGGCAUAAUGGUUCAUGCCUGUAAUUCCAGCACUUUGGGAGGCCGAGGUGGGCAGAUCACUUGAAGCCAGGAGUUCAAGACCAGCCUGGCCAACAUGGAGAAACCCUCUCUAUUUUUAAAUACAUUUAAAAUGUUAACAAUUAAAACAAAAUAUUUUACCGUUAGUAUGAUGCUUGAUACAGGAUUUCUGGUACAUACGCCUUAUCAAAUUAAAUAAGUUUCCUUUUACUCUUGUUUAUUGUUAUUUUUUAAAAUAAGGAAUGAAUCUUGGAUUUUAGUGUAUCAAUAAUUAUAUUUUAUUCUUUAACUUCAUAAUAUUCCUUAUAAUUCCUUAUGUCAUAUUAAAGAUGUAAAUUCAUAUAUAUUUUAUCAUACAAAUGAUUAAUA